AGCGAACGCUGGCGGUAGGCCUAACACAUGCAAGUCGAACGGCAGCACAGUAAGAGCUUGCUCUUACGGGUGGCGAGUGGCGGACGGGUGAGGAAUACAUCGGAAUCUACUUUUUCGUGGGGGAUAACGUAGGGAAACUUACGCUAAUACCGCAUACGCCCUACGGGUGAAAGCAGGGGAUCUUCGGACCUUGCGCGAUUGAAUGAGCCGAUGUCGGAUUAGCUAGUUGGCGGGGUAAAGGCCCACCAAGGCGACGGUCCGUAGCUGGUCUGAGAGGAUGAUCAGCCACACUGGAACUGAGACACGGUCCAGACGCCUACGGGAGGCAGCAGUGGGGAAUAUUGGGCAAUGGGCGCAAGCCUGAUCCAGCCAUACCGCGUGGGUGAAGAAGGCCUUCGGGUUGUAAAGCCCUUUUGUUGGGAAAGAAAAGCAGCAGGUUAAUACCCCGCUGUUCUGACGGUACCCAAAGAAUAAGCACCGGCUAACUUCGUU
rnacentral:rRNA from 1 species